rnacentral:rRNA from 1 species
CAGCCGCCACGGUAAUACGAAGGGGGCUAGCGUUGCUCGGAAUGACUGGGCGUAAAGGGCGCGUAGGCGGUUUGCCAAGUUAGAUGUGAAAUUCCCGGGCUUAACCUGGGGACUGCAUUUGAUACUGGCAGGCUUGAGUGUGGAAGAGGGUCGUGGAAUUCCCAGUGUAGAGGUGAAAUUCGUAGAUAUUGGGAAGAACACCGGUGGCGACGGCGGCGACCUGGUCCAUAACUGACGCUGAGGCGCGAAAGCGUGGGGAGCAAACAGGAUUAGAUACCCCUGUAGUCCCUGUCUCUUAUAC